UGUCAAAUAUUUGUACAUCCUACGUACCGCACCAUUACUUAACACAUAUCAACAAACAACUAUAAACUAAGAUACAAGAGGCUAAAACUCAGCUUAAGCAUUAACUAACUGGCAUUUUUACUAUUGAAUUAUACACUGAUCAAUUCAUGCGAAAGGAGCAAUAGACCACGAGCAUUACAGACAGACAUUUAAACUUCUUGGAAUUCCUUUCAUUUCAUGCUUUCGAACGGUUACAGUUUACACCCACAUAGGAUUUGAAAUAUGUACCUGGAAUGCUGAAAUGCAAAGAGGAAGAAGAGAAUGACAGGGAAAGGUCAGCAGCAGCAGGAAACCAAAUAACAGCAGCAGCAGCAGGUAACCAAAUAGAAACAAAAUCCCAGUGCAAGAUGCAGUUAUAGCCAAUGGGCAGAGGCAACAAAAAUGACAGCAACAAGCAGAGAAGUGGGCUCAGGAUUCAAACGGUCCAACCCCAAAAGAAGGCAAACCAAUAAGAACCAAAACAAAAGAAACCUAGCUGAUACUUGAGGGGAAACCAGCACUUAUUUGAAAUAGGUUAAACUAACUGGGAAUCGAACAAUUAGCAGGAAGAAAAGACAGUUUCUGCUUUCUGUAUAUCCCCCCUCUAUCUCCUUUCUUUCCAAAAUCUAAAACCAAUCUUCAGUUUUGAAAUUAUACUGAAGUUAUUAAAAGAAAUCUUUUCCAGUUCCUGUUUUCAGAAUUUGAACUCUCAGAUGUUCCCUCUCAGUGUCUCUCUCUAUCUCUGUAUGCUCUGUCUGUAUGUAUAUAUAUCUGUAUGUAUUUCAACUCUCUCUUUCAAAAAUUCCUCACAGUGUGUGUAUUUUUUCCUCUCNNNNNNNNNNNNNNNNNNNNNNNNNNNNNNNNNNNNNNNNNNNUCUGAUAAGUCACUGUGUCAAAUAUUUGUACAUCCUACGUACCACACCAUUACUUAACCCAUAUCAACAAACAACUAUAAACUAAGAUACAAGAGGCUAAAACUCAGCUUAAACAUUAACUAACUGGCAUUUUUACUAUUGAAUUAUACACUGAUCAAUUCAUACGAAAGGAGCAAUAGACCACGAGCAUUACAGACAGACAUUUAAACUUCUUGGAAUUCCUUUCAUUUCAUGCUUUCGAACGGUUACAGUUUACACCCACAUAGGAUUUGAAAUGUGUACCUGGAAUGCUGAAAUGCAAA
rnacentral:lncRNA from 1 species